rfam:Triticum aestivum genome assembly, contig: Triticum_aestivum_CS42_TGACv1_scaffold_031497_1BL
AACAUACUCCGUUUGUUCCAAAUUACUUGUCUUGGAUUUGUCUAGAUACGGAUGUAUCUAGCAGAUACAUCCGUAUCUAGACAAAUCCAAGACAAGUAAUUUGGAACGGAGGGAGUAGAUG